AUGGAAGGAGUAGGGAAGUUGAUGAGUAGGCUCAAAUUGUCGGAGGAGGAGAAGAAGGUAGUCAAGAUCAGGGGGGUGGCAAAGGAGAAGGGGAAGAGCACAGAUCCACGGGCCAUUGGCAAGCUGCUAUCCGAGAAACCAGCCCACCCAGAUGCGAUCUCUCUAUCGCUCGGGCACGUCUUGUGUCCAAUUAAGGGGAUCGACUGCACGGAUGUAGGGGAUAAUUUGUUCAUGUUCACCUUUAAGAAGGAGUCGGGGAAGAGGAAGGCAUUGGAGGAUGGGCCGUGGAUGUUCGAUAAAGAUCUGGUGGUGGUGGAGGAUUAUGAUCCAGGCAAGCGCAUUGAGGAUUAUGAAUUUAAUGAUAUUCCCAUCUGGGUACGCAUUUUCAAUCUACCUUUGGGCAUGAUGAACGAGGAAGCGACAGAAGAUAUAGGAAACACCAUUGGUAGAUUUUUGGAGGCGGAUGCGGGGGCUGAUGGGAAGGCCAUUGGUAAGUUCCUGCGAGUUAAGGUGAGAAUGAAUAUUGGGAAGCCCAUCAUGAGGGCUUUUACGCUGGAGAGGAGGAGGAUGAUCAAUACAAAUAGAAACAAAAGAAGAAAAUGGCCAUUGACGGUACUGAAGAAGAAGAGGAGGAGGAGGGGCAAUGGUGUCGUUUCGAAUAUGAGUUCAUGCCAGACUUUUGCUACACCUGUGGUAUGA
rnacentral:rRNA from 1 species